CGGCGGCGGAGCGGCUACGGGGGGCGGCUACGGGGGGCUCGGUGCGGCUACGGGGGUCCCGCGCGGGGAUUUGGGGCUCCGGUCGGGAUUUCGGGGCUGCUGCGUCAUGAACAUAAUUUAUGCGCAGGCCGCUGCCGCAGGGCCCGGCCCGGCACGGUACGGCACGGCACGGCACGGCGAGGAACGUUCCCCCUCAUGAAUUAUUCAUGAGCACGCCCCCACACACAGCCGGGAGACUCAUUUGCAUAUGCAUGCGGCAGCUGCUGCAUUAUUCAUGAGCGGCUCGCUGGGAUUUGGGCCGAAAAGCGGGAAAAAAAGGAAAGUGUGGGAAAGGCGGGGAGGGGGAGCGGAAAAUGGGAAUUUAUAUUGCAAUAUAUUCAUGUUAUACUAUAUCUUUAUAUAUUAAUGUAUAAUUAUAUUAUUUUUGUACUAAUAUAUUAUAUUAAUUAAUAGAAUGUGUUAUUUAUUAAUCCUUAUUAAUAUUUAUUCCUACGUAUCAUACACUACACUACUGUAUCAAUACUUUGAAUAUUAUUGAUUAUAUAGAUAUAUUAUUCUAGUAUGUAUUAUAUACCUCUAAAGGUUUUAUGGGUAUUUUUGAAAUGCUUAAUAAAUAUUAAUUUUAACUGCAGCGUAUAUUAAAUUCUAAUGUUAUGUUCUUUAGAUUAAAUAUGUGAU